rnacentral:rRNA from 1 species
UGGACCCGCAUACGUCGACCCGGGGGAUUCAACCAGGCCGUUGGGUACGGGACGCGCGGGGGUUACGCUGAGCUGUAAAGCCAGUGCCUUCGCGUGGGUCUCCGGGCGGACUGGUGCACUUUCCUCGGGUCGAUUGCCACGACCGGCUCUCCGUGCGGCCAAAAGCCUGUCGCUGGGAAGGUGACCGACGGCCCCAGUGCCGGCGGUGUUAUAGCCCAGCUCGUUCGUUGCGCUCGUCGGAGGGCCGAGGAAGUGUUGCCGCCUCUCAUCACCCUCCGGCCAUCCUUGCUCGUCACGACUGGGGUGGACUGCUUCGUCAGUGCUCUCCCGACCGCGAGCGUAGGAAGGGUCGGUACGGUGCGAGAAGCUUCGGGCCAGUGGCGAAUCGGUCGGUCCUCCACCCGACCCGUCUUG